GAUGAACGCUGGCGGCGUGCCUAAUACAUGCAAGUCGAGCGAACAGACGAGGAGCUUGCUCCUCUGACGUUAGCGGCGGACGGGUGAGUAACACGUGGAUAACCUACCUAUAAGACUGGGAUAACUUCGGGAAACCGGAGCUAAUACCGGAUAAUAUAUUGAACCGCAUGGUUCAAUAGUGAAAGACGGUUUUGCUGUCACUUAUAGAUGGAUCCGCGCCGCAUUAGCUAGUUGGUAAGGUAACGGCUUACCAAGGCAACGAUGCGUAGCCGACCUGAGAGGGGGAUCGGCCACACUGGAACGGAGACACGGUCCAGACUCCUACGGGAGGCAGCAGUAGGGAAUCUGCCGCAAUGGGCGAAAGCCUGACGGAGCAACGCCGCGUGAGUGAUGAAGGUCUUCGGAUCGUAAAACUCUGUUAUUAGGGAAGAACAAAUGUGUAAGUAACUAUGCACGUCUUGACGGUACCUAAUCAGAAAGCCACGGCUAACUACGUG
rnacentral:rRNA from 1 species